UCUCUCUCUCUCUCUCUCUCUCUCUCUCUCUCUCUCCAUCUGAACUGCGAUAUUAAUUUGACAUUGUGACAAGUUACCUGUAUUAGAUAGAGACAACAUAACCUCUUCCUCGAGUAGGAUUCGCGGAGCGUCAUACACACGAGUGGAAGCGUCAAUUCGUGAAAGGGAUUUAGCCCCCGAGGACCUGCCGCUGUCCUUGACACGCUGAAAGCGAGUCCGGGUCUCAUGAGUACGAACCUUAAGGCGCCGUUGCGCAACUCGCCGCUACUCUACGCCCGUUAGCAGCCGCUUGCGAGUAGAAUUAAUGGUGACGCCUACGUUCUCGUGUAGUACUCGCCGUUCGGUAAUUCCCUAGCGUAACCUAACCUAACGUUUUCCUCCUUAGAUUUUCCUCGUAGUCGACUACAGCGAUUGUGAAAAUAAUUUUGUCUUCUGUCCACGUGUAGGUUAAAAGGAGCGUUCCAAGUACUAAAGUAUUUUUCCACGUGGACCAUCUUCCCUACUUUUGUGUACUUUUGAACUCCCGCAACUUAUUUUGGAAAGGAUGGCGCUGAGCUGCGGAACGUAGACAUGUUACUGGCAAUGAAUGAAAGUGAGAUCUGAUUUAUGAAUAAGUCGUGGCCUUGAAUACAUUAGCAUCCAUGGCGCAAUAAGAACGAAGAAAAUGGUAUAACGGCGUUCCUUGCGAUCGUGCACUUGGUCGCCAUCGCCAUAGGUCAUCUGAACCCUCUCUCCGAUAAUCUCUCUAUCUUUUUUUAAAUCUAAAUCUCUUACAGGUUAUCUCAUCGCAGAGAGGAUACCGUACAGCUCCUGUGGCACUGGGUAGUUUCUUAAGCUAGCUCUCAAAUCAAAAUCUUCAAACAAUACAAUUCUUCAAUAGAAAGUAAGGUAUUGGUUUCCUUCAAAGAAAUCUGUGACCCAAUUAGUACCAGUGGUAAUUCUAUUGAAAAUCGAUCAUCCGCUCGAAUGUCUUUUGGAACAGGAGUAUUGUAAAGAAAAGGUAGUUCUAGAAAGGGGUUAGUUGGGAUCACGCGCAAAUGAGCACUAACAGUGGCUAAAUUAACGGACGUCUAACGUGCCAAGGUCUCGUUGUCAAAUAUCUAUCCAGUAGAUUUAAUACCGUGUCCUCUUUAUUGUUUUAUAUUCAAUGUGCUCUAUCCUUUGUAUCGGUGUCAACUUCGUACUUGUAAUUGUUUGAAAAACUUUAUAUACAAUAGAAUGACUAUUCAGGUACGCGUCUGUAAGCAUUUGUACUAUCGUUGUUAAGUGGUACUAUAGGAACUGUCAUACCGUCAUAGGGUCGCUGACCGGCCGAUUAAGAAUCAUUGAAGGGCACUGGGGCCGCCGGCAUCACUGCUCUCGAGGCUCAUUGGGUCCCUUCGAAAUCGCCCUUGACCAAUAUACCCGCUCGACUUCCCACGAGAAAAACAAGGCAAAACAAGACUGCUCGGUCACGCUUCGCCAUUGCGCAUUAUGUCUCUCCAGCUCUAGCUCAUUACCUUUGCCUUGCUACUUCGAUGCUUCUGGAACUAACCUUUCGACCUGACCUUCUGGCGAGGUCAGAGCGAUAUUCCUCAGUGUAAAAACUGAUGCUGUUAUGUAUAGGGUAUAGCGUAACGGACCCCAUCCUGGCAGUUUUCGAGGAUUUUUUUUGCCGAAGAAUCAGUAUAUGUACGUAUAUGUCAAGGGUUGCACGAGCGACUGGUUGAAGAAUGGCAAUUCCAGCAUAGAAACGUUCAAUACGGAGGCGCCCGGCAUCCCGACGCCUACGCUGCGGACUUUUCCUCGCCCCCGACCGGCGCUUCCACCCUACUCUGCUAUUCGGAGUCUGCCAGGAGGAAGAAGUGGCUGGUUCUCAGAAAGGAGAGAGGAAUGUUCUUGAGGAUGUUUUUGUAAUAUUGUUUACCAAGAGAUUACGCACAUUUUUUAUUGUACGUUGUACGUUGUACAUCGUAGAUUGUGCUUCAUGCAGAGAGGAUACGAGAUCGACGUGGACGACGGAAUACGAUAGAGCUAUGGUGUAACAGUGCGGAAGGAAAAGAAUUCAGACUGAAAGGAAAAGCGAAGACUCUACGGAAUGGCAGUGCGCUUGAUCCAGUGGUUCUCGGAAGGUCUUUGGCACGCCUCUCUACGAAAUUGCUGAGACUCCCGGAGGCCCAGGAUGGUCCUUAGCUACGCUCAUUCACAUGGUGCGUUUUAUGCGUCGACGCGAGAAAGGGCAGGUCAAACCAGCAGAGGAAAGGAACUCGAUGCACUUUCCCACAGGGAGGCAGACAGCGAUUCCACGCCGAUCGCUGCAGGUUUUCAAAAGUUUGAGGACCAAUAAGAAAAAAGGGCCAUCGGUGGAUCCUUCGAGAAUUCUCGCUGCUGGCGCGUCGGGGAAGCAAGGCCAUCGGAUUCGGGUACAACGUCCUCCGAUCUAUGCGAACAAAAAAAAAAGGGAUUCCCUCCACAGGGACACCCUAGCCAACCAGACUCAACCCUCGCACUGUGGGAAAAAAUGUGGACCAAGCGAGAUAAUUGUCGGGCGUCCAUUGGAAAAAGAAAUUCCAAAAUUUAUUAGGGUCCCUUCCUGAUGACGCAAGCAGGUCUAGUCACACUCGUUGACACUCUUGGCUAACAUGGCGCAGAUGCCACUCGAGAUCUUGAAACGUUGGGGAUGAGCCAACGCCCGGAACUCUGGCGCCGUCCAAUAAACGUCUCAUAGUUUGAGGAUCGCGGAUAAGCUUUCCCAUCCUGAACCCCAGGAGUGCCUGCGACUGGACGAGAAAAUUCCAUGCUUUUGAUUAAUGAGGGUGCACUCGGCGAGACCAAAUAUUUGGGAAGGGUCCGGCACGUCCACGGGAUGCAACUUGCUUCGACUUAUUCACCCCCUCUUUAACCAUUUCGUUUUUAUCCCUUUUUCCCUACUCCUCGAGCUCCACCCUCUCUAACUUUUGUUUCUUUUCUAGAUCCCUUCGAGCAAGGAUCCAGGUCGACGAACUUGCCCUCCCGGGACAGAGGUAUCCCUGAACUACUACAAAGGCCUACCUCAAUUCCUGAACCCUUCAUGGGACUUCAAGAUCAAAAGCCCUCGCUCCCGACGCUACAGGUAUUGGGCGGAUUCGUCUCGUAUAUCUUGAAUUUACCUUAACAAUAUGAAUAGGAAGUUUUCGAUGAGCACGCAUUCGCUUUCUCCGGCGUUGCCGAUGUCAUCAUCAUCGUCAUCCUUGAUACGAGCCAUGCAAACAGCUGUACGCAGGGACGCAGAGACGCAGAGACGCACGUGCGGUUGUGCGUAUAAAGUCGAGAUGCAAAUGGAGAAGGCAGGACGUUUCGAGUUUCGGCUCCGCCCGACAUACACUUGGACGAUUUCUAGAUAGUUCUUAUCAGUCAUCCUUCCGUUUCCUUUCGACGAUUCAGGGAAUUUCAGCAUAUUGCGAGGCCAAGUCGAAAGAGCUGAAUCGUACGAAAUGAUAAGGACGAGCAUGAGCUGCGCACGGGAAACCGUACUUCCGGAUGCAACAGGGUGACCAUCGAGGACCUUGGGGUAUAGGAGGCACUAUGCAGAC